UCUCAACUCUCUAUGAUUGCCAGUUGUGAGUUGUUUGUACGUAUUUUUCAGGGCCAAGGGUUACAAAGGGUUCGGGUUGCAGUACGGCGGAGAGUGUUGGUCAAGUGCUGAAAUACUGACGCGCUAUAACGAGCGAGGAAAAACGGACAUUUGUGAGGAUGGGAAGGGAAGUGACUGGGCCAAUGACAUCUACUUAAUCUAAGAAUUGAAAGAAUAGCAAGAAACAAAUUUCAUCUACUGAGCUAUGGUAGACUGAACGGGCAUUACUUGGUUAACAUCCAUUUUGAAAAAGAAAUCAAAAUUUACUUAGCAGGGAUGACAUAAUUGAAAAUCUUAAUCACGGUGUUCUUGUAAACGAUGAAUUCAAGAAGGGAUACUGAAAUAAAACUCGAAACUUGA